GACGAACGCUGGCGGCGUGCUUAACACAUGCAAGUCGAACGGAAAGGCCCUGCUUUUGUGGGGUGCUCGAGUGGCGAACGGGUGAGUAACACGUGAGUAACCUCCCCUUGCCUUUGGGCUACCUUCAGGAAACUGGGGCUAAUACCGCAUAGGACCUCCUGCUGCAUGGUGGGGGUUGGAAAGUUUCGGCGGUGGGGUCUGGCCCCGCGCCUUUCCGGCUUGUUGGUGGGGUAGUGGCUUUCCAAGGUUUUGACGGGUAGCCGGCCUGCGAGGGUGGCCGGCCACCUUGGGGCGGAGAUACGGCCCAGGCUCCUACGGGAGGCAGCAGGGGGGAAUAUUGCACAAUGGGCGGAAGCCUGAUGCAGCAACGCCGCGUGCGGGAUGACGGCCUUCGGGUUGUAAACCGCUUUCGCCUGUGACGAAGCGUGAGUGACGGUAAUGGGUAAAGAAGCACCGGCUAACUACGUG
rnacentral:rRNA from 1 species